CACACUGGGACUGAGAUACGGCCCAGACUUCUACGGGAGGCAGCAGCUAAGAAUCUUCCGCAAUGGGCGAAAGCCUGACGGAGCGACGCCGCGUGGGUGAAGAAGGCCGAAAGGUUGUAAAGCUCUUUUCUUAGAGAAGAAUAAAGGCAAGAGGGAAUGCUUGUUUGAUGACGAUACCUAAGGAAUAAGCCCCGGCUAAUUACGUGCCAGCAGCCGCGGUAACACGUAAGGGGCGAGCGUUGUUCGGAAUUAUUGGGCGUAAAGGGCGCGCAGGCGGCGUUGCAAGCCUGGUGUGAAAUGCGGCGGCUUAACCGCUGGCAUGCGCUGGGAACUGCAGGGCUAGAGUUCUAGAGGGGGAGCUGGAAUUCCUGGUGUAGGGGUGAAAUCUGUAGAGAUCAGGAAGAACACCGGUGGCGAAGGCGAGCUUCUGGCUAGAGACUGACGCUGAGGCGCGAAAGCGUGGGGAGCGAACAGGAUUAGAUACCCUGGUAGUCCACGCUGUAAACGAUGUGCACUAGGUGUUGGAGUGAAGAGAAUACUUCGGUGCCGCUAGCUAACGCGUAUAAGUGCACCGCUCUGGGGUAGUAUGCUCGGCAGGGGUAAACUUCACAGGAAUUUGACGGGUGCCCGCACCAAGCGUGUGGAGCUUGUGGUUUACUUCGAUGAUACGCGAGGAACCUUACCAGGGCUUGACAUAUGCAAGGGAGGCACAAGAGAGUGUGCUGCCUGAUUUUCAGUUCUGCAUACAGGUGCUGCAUGGCUGUCGUCAGCUCGUGCUGUGAAGUGUUGGGUUAAGUCCCGCAACGAGCGCAACCCCUGCUGGUCUUGUUGCCAGCAUGUUAUGGUGGGGACUCAGACGGUACUGCCGGUGACAAACCGGAGGAAGGUGGGGACGACGUCAAG
rnacentral:rRNA from 1 species